rnacentral:rRNA from 1 species
GAAAUUGCCCUGAUGUGGGGGAUAACCAUUGGAAACGAUGGCUAAUACCGCAUAAUACCUACGGGUCAAAGAGGGGGACCUUCGGGCCUCUCGCGUCAGGAUAUGCCUAGGUGGGAUUAGCUAGUUGGUGAGGUAAUGGCUCACCAAGGCGACGAUCCCUAGCUGGUCUGAGAGGAUGAUCAGCCACACUGGAACUGAGACACGGUCCAGACUCCUACGGGAGGCAGCAGUGGGGAAUAUUGCACAAUGGGCGCAAGCCUGAUGCAGCCAUGCCGCGUGUGUGAAGAAGGCCUUCGGGUUGUAAAGCACUUUCAGUCGUGAGGAAGGUAGUGUAGUUAAUAGCUGCAUUAUUUGACGUUAGCGACAGAAGAAGCACCGGCUAACUCCGUGCCAGCAGCCGCGGUAAUACGGAGGGUGCGAGCGUUAAUCGGAAUUACUGGGCGUAAAGCGCAUGCAGGUGGUUUGUUAAGUCAGAUGUGAAAGCCCGGGGCUCAACCUCGGAAUAGCAUUUGAAACUGGCAGACUAGAGUACUGUAGAGGGGGGUAGAAUUUCAGGUGUAGCGGUGAAAUGCGUAGAGAUCUGAAGGAAUACCGGUGGCGAAGGCGGCCCCCUGGACAGAUACUGACACUCAGA